UACGUAGGGUGCGAGCGUUAAUCGGAAUUACUGGGCGUAAAGCGUGCGCAGGCGGUGAGCUGUGCCUGAUGUGAAAGCCCACGGCUCAACCGUGGAGGGUCAUUGGAAACUGGGAAACUUGAGUGCAGAAGAGAAGAGCGGAAUUCCACGUGUAGCGGUGAAAUGCGUAGAGAUGUGGAGGAACACCGGUGGCGAAGGCGGUUCUCUGGGCCUUACCUGACACUGAGGAGCGAAAGCGUGGGGAGCAAACGGG
rnacentral:rRNA from 1 species